ACUAGUUCGCUAACAACUGACUGUACAUUUAUCGCCAAGACAAUAUUCAAGUUGGACUGUACAACGACUUCUAGUGCAGUAAUAAUCCGGUAUGCGCUGAUUAAUCAUUGUGUUGCACACGUUCAUAACGAGGCAAUGAUAAUGAAGGAUUAAUUCAUUUAUGAAUAAAAUAAAUCACGAACAUUUAAAAUGUAUGGUUACUUCUUAAUCUUCAACUUUUAUUGCGUCUAGUUUCAACGCUCAACUGCCGCCGAUGCCGCAAACGAGAACAAAGCCCAUGACGACUACGACGGUUACAAUGUGCAGAAUCAACGGGGUUUUCAGGGGUUUACACACGGGUUGGACAGAAUGUAAACCCAGCGUUAAGAACUUUAUUCGGCGUAGCUGUUUAACGUCACUUUUGACCUUAGGUGACCUUUAGGUUACAUUCAUAAAAGUGCCCGCGGUUACCCACGAAUGAAUACACUUCAUUUAGUCCAUUGGCUGAUUUGAGAAUACCACCAUAACAUUGGAAACAUGGCCGCGUCUUUCUUACACUGUUUUUCUGCGUGUUCAGCUUUAAACAAUAUUAUCUCUUAUGAAAAGGCAUGAUGGAUAGAACAGUUUUACACUCAACUCUUCAUAUCAAUACAAUUUGUGGGUAUAUUCUACACCUUCGUCAGUUCGCGGUUAGUGUGUGUGAAUGUCAGAGUUUAUAUAAAGGUCAUCGCUGCAUCUUCACGACUACCUUAUGUGCUGACCGGAGUUCGCGGCCAGUAAAAUAAUCGUUAUAGAAUAAAGACGCUAUAGCGUGAACUAGGUGAACUGACCAGAAAGAUGGUAAAUGAAGAUAUCCAGCGACAUAAUUAUGGUCGAAGAAAAAGAGGACUGGCCACAUUUUCAAAAGAGAUAAGCGAAAGUAAUUAUUCCCAGAACUGGAAUCCACCCUGCCACAGAAAAGGGAGAUGUCCGGUACCUACUGGAGAAGUUCUCAAGAAGCAGAUUUUAAACCUCUACGUCCUUCAUGGUGUUUAACAAAGCACACAGUUCAAUUAAGAACCAAAUGUCAAGUAACGGCGAAGAUUGUGUGCCCAAAGUUGGGCGAAGAGGAUUAAAUAAUUAUCUAAAUGCGGUAUUGACAAUAAUUGUUCAUUUACUUUUGAUUGAUUUUCUUUUUGCCAGCAAACAUUCCUGCAUCAACAUGAAUCAGCCAUUGUAAGUAGUGUUAAACUAAUGGAACAAAUGCAACACAACUCAAUAAUUGGCUAUUGUUUCAGAACUCAAGGGAGUUGUUGGUAUUUCACAAUUCAAUGUAAAACAACCUUCUGGAGUCGCGAGUAUUUGUUGUGGAACAAUAGCGUUAUCUUUGUUUCAGCGAAAAAAAUAAAAAAUAGAUAAACAAGAA